UACGUAGGGCGCAAGCGUUGUCCGGAAUUAUUGGGCGUAAAGAGCUCGUAGGCGGCCUGUUGCGUCCGCUGUGAAAACCCGGGGCUUAACCCCGGGCUUGCAGUGGAUACGGGCAGGCUGGAGGCAGGCAGGGGAGAACGGAAUUCCCGGUGUAGCGGUGAAAUGCGCAGAUAUCGGGAGGAACACCUAUUGCGAAGGCAGCUCGCUGGGACGUUACUGACGCUGAGACGCGAAAGCGUGGGGAGCAAACAGG
rnacentral:rRNA from 1 species